UACGGAGGAGGCAAGCGUUAUCCGGAAUUAUUGGGCGUAAAGCGUCCGCAGGUGGCACUUCAAGUCUGUCGUCAAAGACUGGGGCUUAACCCUGGAAAGGCGGUGGAAACUGAAGCGCUAGAGUGCGGUAGGGGUAGAGGGAAUUCCCGGUGUAGCGGUGAAAUGCGUAGAGAUCGGGAAGAACAUCGGUGGCGAAAGCGCCUUGCUGGGUCUGCACUGACACUGAGGGACGAAAGCUAGGGGAGCGAAAGGG
rnacentral:rRNA from 1 species